AUUAGGUUGGCACGGUCUGCCGUUUUCUUCCCUUUUGAAAAUGAAAAUAAAAAGUGCUCCUCCUAGUCUUGAGGGGGGUUUAUUUAUAGGCUGUGCCCCAUUUGGAGAACCGGAGACUGACGCACACGCGUGACCCUGGCAUGAUGCUGCGACACGCUCCAUUUCCGUAUUUCCCACGCGUCCUUCCCACUCGCGGGCUUUGUCCUUCAGCUUUGCUCCCCAUCUGUGGGGGGACGGAAUGUGAGGAGCUGGUGACAGGGGCCCAGACCAGGCCCCCCAGAGCUUCUACCUAAUGCUGUCCUACUAAACCAUCCCACUAGCCUUCCCCUAUCCCCCACCGUGUGUGGAUGUAUGCUAAUAUCUGCUAAUAUAAAAUAUCUAUG